GAACCUUCGGGUUAGUGGCGGACGGGUGAGUAACGCGUGAGAAACUGCCCUCAGGAGGGGGAUAACAGUUGGAAACGACUGCUAAUACCCCAUAUGCCGAGAGGUGAAACGAAUUUUGCCUGGGGAUGAGCUCGCGUCUGAUUAGCUUGUUGGUGGGGUAAAAGCCUACCAAGGCUUCGAUCAGUAGCUGGUCUGAGAGGACGAUCAGCCACACUGGGACUGAGAUACGGCCCAGACUCCUACGGGAGGCAGCAGUGGGGAAUUUUCCGCAAUGGGCGCAAGCCUGACGGAGCAACGCCGCGUGAGGGAUGAAGGCCUUUGGGCUGUAAACCUCUUUUCUCAAGGAAGAAGAUCUGACGGUACUUGAGGAAUAAGCCACGGCUAAUUCCGUGCCAGCAGCCGCGGUAAUACGGGAGUGGCGAGCGUUAUCCGGAAUUAUUGGGCGUAAAGCGUCCGCAGGCGGCCGUUUAAGUCUGUUGUUAAAUCGUGGAGCUCAACUCCAUCACGGCAAUGGAAACUGUUCGGCUUGAGUAUGGUAGGGGCAGAGGGAAUUUCCGGUGUAGCGGUGAAAUGCGUAGAUAUCGGGAAGAACACCAGUGGCAAAAGCGCUCUGCUGGGCCAUUACUGACGCUCAUGGACGAAAGCCAGGGGAGCGAAAGGGAUUAGAUACCCCUGUAGUCCUGGCCGUAAACGAUGAACACUAGAUGUUGGGGGAAUCGACCCCUCCGGUGUCGUAGCUAACGCGUUAAGUGUUCCGCCUGGGGAGUACGCACGCAAGUGUGAAACUCAAAGGAAUUGACGGGGGCCCGCACAGCGGUGUAGUAUGUGGUUUAAUUCGAUG
rnacentral:rRNA from 1 species